CGGGCUGUCUCCUGUAAUUUUAGCGCACACUGAUGCAGAGGAAAGGUUUAAUGGGCAUUGGUCGGCCUACCUUCUUCUGAGGGCGUAAAGGAGACAGAGCAGAGCGAGCAGAGAGGGAGGGGAGCAGAGGGAGAGGACAGUGUAGAGAGAGAGAGAGAGAGAGAGAGAGAGAGAGAGAGAGAGAGAGAGAGAGAGAGAGAGAGAGAGAGAGAGAAAGGCAGCGUGUCAGGGCUGCUGUAGCUCAGAAAUAAAGUCAGGCAACUAUCUGGAUCACUAUGACUCUUUUAACACUUGGACUGUAUCUGCCACUGUGGUUUUGUUAUGGCCUGGCUCAGUCCUCUUUUCUGGACACCUUUAUUCCAUUCCCUGCAGCUCUCAGAACCGAGGAGCAGCAGAGGAGAUUCAGCCCAUGCUGUUUACUGAGUCCGCCUCCACCCCCACUGUUUCCUCCACCCCCUGCACUUUGGCGCCGCGACACUCAUAAUGAAGACAUUCGUGGUGGUGAGUCAGAGCCGGGCAAUGAGGCCUGCGUCCGAGGCCCCCGCGGACCUGCUGGUCCCUCUGGCCCUCAGGUAGAAUCCAGACUAUUCCCACACAUCAUGGUUAAUCACAGCAUUAUUAAUAUACCGGUACUGUAGAUCUUAGCAUCAUUACACCACUCCAACAUACCCCCCACAAUUUGGCUUACGCAGGAUUCACCGUCAGUAUGGCUAAAU
rnacentral:lncRNA from 1 species